GCACAAGCGGUGGAUGAUGUGGUUAAUUCGAUGCAACGCGAAAACCUUACCACCUUUGACAUGUAUGGAAGUUUCCAGAGAUGGAUUCGUGCUCGAAAGAGAGCCAUAACACAGGUGCUGCAUGGCUGUCGUCAGCUCGUGUCGUGAGAUGUUGGGUUAAGUCCCGCAACGAGCGCAACCCUUGUCAUUAGUUGCUACAUUUGGUUGGGCACUCUAAAUGAGACUGCCGGUGACAAACCGGAGGAAGGUGGGGAUGACGUCAAGUCCUCAUGGCCCUUAUAGGUGGGGCUACACACGUCAUACAAUGGCCGGUACAAAGGGUCGCAAACCCGCGAGGGGGAGCCAAUCCAUCAAAGCCGGUCGUAGUCCGGAUCGCAGUCUGCAACUCGACUGCGUGAAGUCGGAAUCGCUAGUAAUCGUGGAUCAGCAUGUCACGGUGAAUACGUUCCCGGGUCUU
rnacentral:rRNA from 1 species